rnacentral:rRNA from 1 species
UGAGAACGUACCCUUUGGUUCGGAACAACCCAGGGAAACUUGGGCUAAUACCGGAUAAGUCCGUAAGGAGAAAGAUUUAUCGCCAAAGGAUCGGCCCGCGUCUGAUUAGCUAGUUGGUAGGUAAUGGCCUACCAAGGCUACGAUCAGUAGCUGGUCUGAGAGGAUGAUCAGCCACAUUGGGACUGAGACACGGCCCAAACUCCUACGGGAGGCAG